UGGCAAUGAUGUUUGAAUUUCUUCACCUGAAUCCUUAUGUGGAUCAAAACACGAGCUUUUUAAAUCUGAGCAGA